UAACCGACUCCUCCCUCCAUCUCUCUCUCUCUCUCCUCUCCUCUCUUCCUCUCAUCGCAAGAAACCCCAAUGCCCGACGCCUCUCUGUGCCACGCCCCCACCUCUUCCCUCCCAUCGCAAGAAACCCCCGGCAUGAUGUUGUGGUUGCGGAAGCCGUGAUUUAAGCGCGGAGGAGAUGAGAUCCUGGGGGAAGGGGACGAUGCAGAACACGAGCAGGCGGCGGGGAUACCUUUCUCUAUCGUCGCUGUGGUCGGCGUUACCGGGCUUGUGAUUCGUGGGCCGGAUGUGGUUUAUUUCUCCCUCGGCCCUUUGUUUCUGAGUCCGAUCCGUGUGGAUAAGUGUGCCGGCCAGGAAGCGCGGUGGGGGGCGAAGAGGUUCUUGGAUUUCUUGGAGUUUGAAGCAGAAAAUGCUGCAAGAUCAUCGAAAGACGGUCAGGGUUUCUUCAUGUGAGUGACGUUUCCGAUAAUUUCUUUCUCUGGUUGAAGUUGGUUGUUGCGAAUUCACCAGCACUGCACUUUUCCAGGAUAUAUGGAGAUGCCAAUAGACAUAAAAUUUAGGAGGUUAUUGGGAAAAGCAAUUUACUACAGAGUUAUUUGUUCGGCAGUUGAUGGUUGAUACUCUUACUGGAAAGACUGUGAUGAUUGAGAAGAUAUAAAUUAAGGUGGUUAUUCGAAAAAGGAAGUUACGGAGUUGUUUAGUCAGAGCAUUUGACAGUAGAUGAAAGAAAGUUACGAUGAAGAAGAUAUGUGGGAUCAAGCUUCUCUGACUUGUGAGACAUCCGGAUACUCUAAAGAUCAAGAACAAUCAUGUUGCCUCCAUCAAGGAGGGGAUUGAAAAAUAUUUUUGAGCUCAUGGAGACAGAUCUUCACCAAAUUUAUCAAGGCUAAUGAUGCUGACAGGAGAAAAUAUUCCUUCUUUUUUACCUAUACCAAUGGCUGCACACAUUAAAGUAUAUCUAUAAAGGUCAGAUCAUAUUUUCCGGUGAUAUGUUGCUAGGAUCAUGUGAUUUAAACCAGCCAUUAGCUUUAGUUUAUCUCUUGACUUAGGAAAAUUAUAAAUUUUUUUUAAUGUAUAUUGCUUACUGCUUUUUGACUAACUUGUUGUGGUUGCAACUGAUUUUCUUAAAACUAGAGAAGUUCGUCGA